ACGUGCGCAGGCGGUUAUAUAAGACAGAUGUGAAAUACCCCGGGCCGUCAACCUGGGAACUGCAUUUGUGACUGUAUAGCUGGAGUGCGGCAGAGGGGGAUGGAAUUCCGCGUGUAGCAGUGAAAUGCGUAGAUAUGCGGAGGAACACCGAUGGCGAAGGCAAUCCCCUGGGCCUGCACUGACGCUCAUGCACGAAAGCGUGGGGAGCAAACAGGAUUAGAUACCCCUGU
rnacentral:rRNA from 1 species